AAUGAAGUGCCUGAUAAAAGGGUUAUCUUGAUAGGAUAAAUUAUAUAAAUUUUUAUCUUCAUUG
rnacentral:tRNA from 1 species